CAGUAGCCGCGGGAAUACGUAGGGGGCAAGCGUUAUCCGGAAUUACUGGGUGUAAAGGGAGCGUAGACGGUUAAACAAGUCUGAAGUGAAAGGCCGGGGCUCAACCCCGGAGCUGCUUUGGGAACUGUAGAACUGGAGUGUCGGAGGGGUAAGCGGAAUUCCCAGUGUAGCGGUGAAAUGCGUAGAUAUUGGGAGGAACACCGGCGGCGAAGGCGGCUUACUGGACGACAACUGACGUUGAGGCUCGAAGGCGUGGGUAGCAAACAGGAUUAGAUACCCCGGUAGUCCCUGUCUCUUAUAC
rnacentral:rRNA from 1 species